rnacentral:rRNA from 1 species
AACGAACGCUGGCGGCAGGCCUAACACAUGCAAGUCGAACGCCCCGCAAGGGGAGUGGCAGACGGGUGAGUAGCGCGUGGGAACCUACCUAGUGGUACGGAAUAACUCCGGGAAACCGGUGCUAAUACCGUAUACGCCCUUUGGGGGAAAGAUUUAUCGCCAUUAGAUGGGCCCGCGUCGGAUUAGCUAGUUGGUGAGGUAAAGGCUCACCAAGGCGACGAUCCGUAGCUGGUCUGAGAGGAUGAUCAGCCACACUGGGACUGAGACACGGCCCAGACUCCUACGGGAGGCAGCAGUGGGGAAUAUUGGACAAUGGGCGCAAGCCUGAUCCAGCCAUGCCGCGUGGGUGAAGAAGGCCCUAGGGUUGUAAAGCCCUUUCGGCGGGGAAGAUAAUGACGGUACCCGCAGAAGAAGCCCCGGCUAACUUCGUGCCAGCCGCCGCGGUAA